UGUUUCCUAGCACAGUCAAUAGAGCAUGAGACCCUUAAUCUCAGGGUUAUGGGUUCAAGCCCCACGUUGGGGAAAA